rnacentral:tRNA from 1 species
GGGGGUGUGGCCAAAUUGGAUUAAGGCAUCCGCCUUCUAAGCGGACGAUGUUGGGGGUUCGAGUCCCUCCACCCCUGCCA